UACGUAGGGGGCAAGCGUUGUCCGGAUUUAUUGGGCGUAAAGAGCGUGUAGGCGGCCAUACAGGUCCGUUGUGAAAACUGGAGGCUUAACCUCCAGACGUCGAUGGAAACCGUAUGGCUAGAGUCCGGAAGAGGAGAGUGGAAUUCCUUGGUGUAGCGGUGAAAUGCGCAGAUAUCAGGAAGAACACCCGUGGCGAAGGCGGCUCUCUGGGACGGUACUGACGCUGAGACGCGAAAGCGUGGGGAGCGAACAGG
rnacentral:rRNA from 1 species